UACGGAGGGAGCUAGCGUUGUUCGGAAUUACUGGGCGUAAAGCGCGCGUAGGCGGCUUUGUAAGUUAGAGGUGAAAGCCCGGAGCUCAACUCCGGAACCGCCUUUAAAACUGCAUCGCCUGAAUCCAGGAGAGGUGAGUGGAAUUCCGAGUGUAGAGGUGAAAUUCGUAGAUAUUCGGAAGAACACCAGUGGCGAAGGCGGCUCACUGGACUGGUAUUGACGCUGAGGUGCGAAAGCGUGGGGAGCAAACAGG
rnacentral:rRNA from 1 species